CUGGUAAAACAAAACUGCGGCGCUGCAGGUCGGUGUGGGUGGGUGCAUGAAUCGUUGUGAAUUAUUGCACUUCCCUAGACUGGUCUGCUUGUCGCAUUUACUUCGAAAUUUCGG
rnacentral:precursor_RNA from 10 species